UUAACACCGCCAUGACACUGCUUUCCGGCAUCGGGAGGCGGUCAAAUAUUCAUAGGAUAUGGAUGGGCUCGCGUGACAUUAGCUAGUUGGUGGGGUAACGGCCCACCAAGGCGACGAUGUCUAGGGGGCUCUGAGAGGAGAAUCCCCCACACUGGUACUGAGACACGGACCAGACUCCUACGGGAGGCAGCAGUAAGGAAUAUUGGUCAAUGGGGGCAACCCUGAACCAGCCAUGCCGCGUGCAGGACGACUGCCCUAUGGGUUGUAAACUGCUUUUGUUAGGGAAUAAACCCCGCUACGUGUAGCGGGCUGAAUGUACCUAAAGAAUAAGGAUCGGCUAACUCCGUGC
rnacentral:rRNA from 1 species